AAGUGUUAUCCGGAAUCACUGGGCGUAAAGCGUCUGUAGGUGGUUCGAAAAGUCCACUGUUAAAAAUUGAGGCUUAACCUCAAAGAUGCCGUGGAAACUUUCAAACUAGAGUAUGGUAGGGGUAGAGGGAAUUUCCAGUGGAGCGGUGAAAUGCGUAGAUAUUGGAAAGACCACCGAUGGCGAAGGCACUCUACUGGGCCAUUACUGACACUGAGAGACGAAAGCUAGGGGAGCAAAUGGGAUUAGAAACCCUAGUAGUCC
rnacentral:rRNA from 1 species